rnacentral:rRNA from 1 species
CAGUCGCCACGGGAAUACAGAGGAUGCAAGCGUUAUCCGGAAUGAUUGGGCGUAAAGCGUCUGUAGGUGGCUUUUCAAGUCCGCCGUCAAAUCCCAGGGCUCAACCCUGGACAGGCGGUGGAAACUACCAAGCUGGAGUACGGUAGGGGCAGAGGGAAUUUCCGGUGGAGCGAUGAAAUGCGUUGAGAUCGGAAAGAACACCAACGGUGAAAGCACUCUGCUGGGCCGACACUGACACUGGGAGACGAAAGUUAGGGGAGAAAAUGGGAUUAGAUACCCGGGUAGUCCCUGUCUCUUAUAC